UCCUAUUGAGAGAAAACAAUAGAAGGGGAAAUGUUCCUAAAAUAAAAUUCAGUUCUUAUGUAAAAUACACUUGCCAUUGCAGGGUUCUUUUACAGUUACAGAGUAGGAAUAUUCUCUGAAGCUCCCUAAUUAUUUUCUUCCAAGUAGUGUGCCUAACUAAUUCUACAAGAACUCCUAGUGUAUAAGAGUGCACAUGAAGUUGGUUCUUUCAGGUGUGUGUGGCAUAUAUCCUAGAGUUACUAAGUACUUUACAGAGAGAAAUAACAAAUAAAACCAACUACAUUGCACUAAUGACUUUUCUCCGGGCUCUUUGAGCUUAAUUACUAAAACCAGUAGCAAGUGCAAAUAUAAUUUCAGUGUAAUAGGUCACCUCCUAUUAGCCUACAACUUGUACAGAAAACACCUAGUCAAAUUGCUUGGUCACCAGUUAAGAGGGUCACUGCUUUUCCAGGAGGUUUAAAUCCCCAACUGUUACAUAAGCCGUCAUCAACUUGCCUGCUAAAUGUGGGCACUUAUAUUUGGGAUUCAUCAAAAUCUGGGAAGCAGUUAUUUCUUACACCAUAUUUAUGAAUAAUGACAAGACACUGCCAGCUGGUAUGUGUAAAAUUGUCUAGACCAAUCUAAAAGAAGUAUGUUUUUGCAUCUUUUCUUAUGGCAGCUUUGAGGGCCAAGGAGGCAGACUGGAUAAUUUUCUAGUGACUGCUAAAUGACCUCAAACUCUUGUAGAAAUAAUGCCUGCAAACACUACAUCUUUGGCGGCUGUGACAGAAAUACUAAAAGAAAAAAAUUGGAAGGGCAUCAGCACUUAUGCUUUAGGACUAAUGUUGUCUUAGAGAAAAAGGAAGUUUUCUACCUAGGUCUAAUAUUUCGUAAUUUUGUAAUGGGGAGAUUUUGAAUUAUCAUCACAAUUACAUAGUACUAAUCACUCUUUGAAAUGUGAUCAUGUCUUAAGAUUUGGAGAUGUAACCUAGUGAGGUAGGCAGUUGUGUCUGCAGUGCAUUCUGCAGUGUUUCCUAGUGAAAGACUGCAUAAAGGAAUUUAUCAAGUUUGUUUUUCUUUUAAAACCAUAUUUACAUGCAUUUCUUUUCUCUCUUGUGUACAUCUUAAAUUCUAGAUAGCUCUACAGUUCUGUGAUUUAACUUGGGGUUUUUCCCCCCUGUACUUUUUUUCACUAGAAGAGAGAAGUCCUGCAAACAACAUCCAGCAUUCAAAAUGUCUUUAGUUAGGGUGAACACGCUAACCAAAAAUAUUGAAUUCUGAAAGGGAUGACGUGGUGAUUCAGAAAAUAAAGGAAAAAUGUGAGGUGAGAGAGAUAUGGGAUGAAGAAGACUUUUAUGAAAGAGAAAUUUUUUUUUGUAAGAGAAAGGAAGAAGAGCAAGGCAGAGGAACUAUAAAGUUAGUUUUAUUCUGAGAGACCUAAUUUUUUCCAUGAGGCAUAAAUGUUUUGACAUGGAUAUCAUCUCCAUCUCUAGAUGGGGAGACACCAGCUGAUACCAUGAUUACCACAAACUGAAUUCUCAAAUUCUUAAUAAAAAUUACCUAUAGCUUUAUUGGGAAUAUCCUUGUCUUUAUGCAUAAUAAAUAUUCAAUUCAUGCUGAAAAAAUAUAGCUUAUCUUUGUAGGCAGAAAUGUUUGAAAAUUAUUUUCAAUACCACUCAUUAAUCUGUACAGCCAGUUACCCUGAGUGACCCCUUGAACCGUCAUAUAUACUAUUAUUUUAAAAAAGAUUAUUGUAUGUGGGUAAAAACACUAAAAGUAGCAUACACACAGUUCAUGCUAAUAUUUUGCCACUUUGAAGACUUACCUCUCUCUUUUAACUUUUUAUUUUACUGUGUAUUCCUCUCUAACAAGUGCACAUUUGAAGGAAAUUUAGUUUAACCAUGUGGAGUAAAAAGAUAUAAUUCUACUGAUCUGCUACGAAAGAGAGGUAAAGAUAUGGUUCCACAGAUCUCUCAAAAGAAUUUGAAAACAUCUGUUAAAGUUUCCAUCUCCUGUCCCACUAUGCCCCCAUAUUGUAGAAAAGUGAGUUUAUUUACUAUUUUGUUUUACACCUGGAUACAAUAAGUUGCUGUGGGGAAGACUGUGUUUCUCAGAGGCAUCUAGACAAACUAUGACUCAUUAGACAUUCCUGAAGUGUGGUGAAAUGGAAAAGUCAAUGGAGUGCUGUAAUAUCUGGGUAUAAGUUACGCAUGAACAAUUAAGAGUAUAGCGUUGAGGGAUUAACAUUAUGUGGUAUGUUUUCCAUUUAAUUAAUGAGAUGAUGCCACUCCAACUAUAGCGGUAUCUAUAGAGAAAUGAAUCCCAUAUCAAUAUGUAUGUUUAGAACUCUCAAGCCGAAAGCACAGUUUACUCAGCACAGAGAAAUUGCAUGUCUUUUUGGAAAAGAAUGGACCUAUCUGUGACAUUGCAUAAAUGCCCUUGUUAUUGUUUUGUGUGAACACUUGCCCACAUCUCUGAAAGAUGCACUCAUCCAUGUUUAGGGGAAAGAUGCUAAGGAUUCUGAAUUUCUUGUUGAACCAUAUGUAGGUGUUAGGAGAAUUCUCUCACUGAAUAAUGGAGGGAGCAGAUUCUCUUCUGUGCUGUGUGCUGUCUGCUCUGUAUCCCUGCCAUGGCUCCUCAGUCUUGCUUAACCUAUUUUUUCAUUGGGAACCUCAGUUUCAUGACAUUUUUCCCCUUGUGGAGACUCCAGCUUUCUUGUCUGACCACUAGAGUGGAUGGGUCUCAUGGCAUCUUCUCUCUGUGCUAAUCAACAAAAUGUCAUUUACAUUUUAAAGUUCUCUUCUCCUGGAAACAAGAGAGAGAACAGCAAGUGGAUCCAAAAGGAGAGGCAUGGCAGGAAAGUAGCUUCCACUCUGUCCCAUUUUGCUUCUCUAAUGAGCUAAUGGCAAUCAUGUAACUACUCUGCACAUUGCUCUAUCUUGUGAUUUUAGAGAGCAUCCUUAGAUAAGCUAUUCUUGUGGAAAGCUUCUUCCA